rnacentral:misc_RNA from 1 species
GAUGAAGAACGUAGCGAAAUGCGAUAAGUAGUGUGAAUUGCAGAAUUCAGUGAAUCAUCGAAUCUUUGAACGCACAUUGCGCCCCCUGGUAUUCCGUGGGGCAUGCCUGUUCGAGCGUCAUUUACCCCCUCAAGCUCCGCUUGGUGUUGGGCGUCUGUCCCGCUUCGCGCGCGGACUCGCCCCAAAGGUAUUGGCAGCGGUCGUGCCAGCUUCUCGCGCAGCACAUUGCGCUUCUCGAGGCACCGGUGGGCCCGCGUCCAUCAAGCUCACCCCCCCAGUUUGACCUCGGAUCAGGUAGGGAUACCCGCUGAACUUAAGCAUAUCAAUAAGCGGAGGA